AAAUAGCAAAUAAUUAGGGACCUGCGACUAUUAGUGGAAAAAAUGAUAGUAGUAUUUAGAACCAUUGAAUUACAAAUAUAGGGGUAACAGUGCUUUUCGCUUAAUUGGUCUUGAAAAUUAGCGAAGGAGAUUCUGUUAUUUGGCUCUGCCAAUUCCAUACAAAUUGAAUUGAGUUUGCUCUGCAUAUUGAUUAAGCACUUUUGUUGGAGUCCUGCUUCCAGAGGAAUAUUACAAAACUAUUUUCAAGAAUGGGAGGAACGGAAGAAGAAGUUAAACAUGGAGAAGAGGUUGAGGUUGAUAAGAAGGAUAAGAAGGAAAAGAAAGAGAAAAAGAAGAAGAAUCCUGGAGAUAAGAAGGAUCCUGUAAUACUUAAGCAAAAGCUUGAAAAGUUAGAUUCCAAAAUACAGCCUUUGGUGGCUAAGAGAGAAGAGAUUUUGAAGCUGCUUAAUGAACUUGAAACCAAUCCAACUCAAUCUCCUGCAGCUUCUUCUUAGAUUAAUUGUUGUAUAUAAUAAGUUUUUUUUAAAUUUAUUUUAUGAGUAGAAAAGUCCAAUUUGUUUUUACAACACUAGUUCGCACACGUCACUUGCACUCUACAAUGUGGUAAAUAAGA